GUUCAGAACGUCGUGAGACAGUUCGGUCCCUAUCUGGUGUGGGCGUUAGAAUAUUGAGGAAAGCUGCUCCUAGUACGAGAGGACCGGAGUGGACGAACCUCUGGUGUACCGGUUGUCACGCCAGUGGCAUAGCCGGGUAGCUAAGUUCGGAAAGGAUAACCGCUGAAAGCAUCUAAGCGGGAAGCCUCAUCCAAGAUGAGUAUUCUCUGGGAACUAGAUUCCCCUAAAGGGCCGUUGAAGACUACGACGUUGAUAGGCACCAUGUGGAAGUCCAGUAAUGGAUGUAGCUAAGGUGUACUAAUUGCCCGUGAGGCUUGAUUCUAUAACCUUGAAUGGUUU
rnacentral:rRNA from 2 species